rnacentral:rRNA from 1 species
GAUGAACGCUAGCGGCAGGCUUAACACAUGCAAGUCGAGGGGCAGCAUAAUGGAUAGCAAUAUCUAUGGUGGCGACCGGCGCACGGGUGCGUAACGCGUGGGGAUCUACCAUAGGGUACGGAAUAACUCAGAGAAAUUUGUGCUAAUACCGUAUAAUGUCGCAAGACCAAAGAUUUAUCGCCCUUUGAUGAACCCACGUAAGAUUAGCUAGUUGGUGUGGUAAAGGCUCACCAAGGCGACGAUCUUUAGCUGGUCUGAGAGGGUGAUCAGCCACACUGGGACUGAGGCACGGCCCAG